AUACAUGGGAUUAACCCUUUAAACCCUAAACUUAAAAUGGUCCGUCUGGACUUUUUUCUUAUUUUGACUAUAAAAAGGUUAGAAAUAUUCUGUGAGUGAGUCCUUUUGCCCAUUUUUCUAAAACACUUAGA